rnacentral:tRNA from 1 species
GGAGAGAUUUAAGGUCCCGCUGACUUGAAAACCGAAGUGCUGGCAACGGCACCGUGGGUUCGAAUCCCUCUCUCUCCGCCA